rnacentral:rRNA from 1 species
AGCUCCAAUAACGUAUAUUAAAGUUGUUGCGGUUAAAAAGCUCGUAGUUGGAUUUCUGUUGAAAGUGGCCGGUCCCCACUCUGUGGGCGUAUCUGGUUCGCUUUUGGCAUCCUCCUGUGGAACGUUUCUGCACUUCAUUGGGUGGAGCGGGACCCAGGACUUUUACUUUGAGGAAAUUCGAGUGUUUACGGCAGGCAAUCGCCUUGAAGAUAUUAGCAUGGAAUAAUAAUAUAGGACCUUGGUUCUAUUUUGUUGGUUUCUAGGACUGAG